rnacentral:misc_RNA from 1 species
CAAAAAAAAAAAAAAAACUAAAAAUUGGGUGUUAAUCUAGAUGGAAGACUAUUGAGCAAUGAUGAACCUACAGACCUGUAAUGAUUUGCGGUGAUGAUCGCAAAUUUUUAUGAACAUCUAAGGGACUGAGUUCUCAAUAUUACUUCUAGGGUCAAUGUUCAUGUGUGUUACUGUAUUGGUAAUGUGAGUUUUGAUCUGCUGUCAAGUUGAUCAUGUUGUAUGAUACUGUUAUACAUGAUUGUUAGUAAUUUUUGCUUCCUGACUGGGAAUCUGUUAACAGUUUUUUUCAAUUUUUCUUCUUGUGACCUAUGAUGAUUUAUGAGUGAUACAGGUUGGAUAAUUACUGUUCAUUCUCAAGUCCUGAAAUUGAAGUUUCCUUGAAAUUUGUAUUGGUUAUUGAGCAUCCUAUAAUAAAUUGUGGAUUGCAAAUUCUCUCUCAUUUGUUUACUGAAUAAAUAAUAGGAAGUUCUGCAUGACAAUGAAUUUUGCUUUUAUUUUUCUAUUUAUCAUCAUCCUUUGUUGUGAAUAAUUACAGCAUCUUGUGGCCACUAUUGUGUCUACUUGUGUGCUGGUGCUGAAUGAAUUAUGAGUUUCUUUUUAUUGUUUGAUAGCUUAGUAUUUCUAUAUCUUAUUAUUUUUAUUGUUUUUACGUAGGUUCUCCUAAGAGGUCCAAAG